rnacentral:rRNA from 1 species
AUAUUAAUAAGCGGAGGAAAAGAAACUAACAAGGAUUCCCCUAGUAACGGCGAGUGAAGCGGGAAGAGCUCAAACUGAAAAUCGACGCGUCAAGCGACACGUUCGAGUUGUAGUCUAGAGAUGCAUGGUCAGCGGUGACCCCGGUAUAAAUCUUUUGGAACAAGGUAUCAUAGAGGGUGAGAAUCCCGUCUUUGACUGGAAGUUCGCCGCGUACGACCUGCAUUCAAUGAGUCGAGUUGUUUGGGAUUGCAACUCUAAAUGGGUGGUAAAUUUCAUCUAAAGCUAAAUAUCAGCGAGAGACCGAUAGCGAACAAGUACCGUGAGGGAAAGAUGAAAAGAACUUUGAAAAGAGAGUUAAAAAGUACUUGAAAUUGUUAAGAGGGAAGCGAUGGCAACCAGUGAUUGCGGUGUGCGGUAUCCUUAGAGAGUGCUAUUGCCAGUGGAGUGGUUUUCGGAACUGUUUCCUGGUUCAGUGGAGAUCUCUGGGUUACGCCGUGUACUGUCGAGUCAGCAUCAGUUGGGGCUGCGUGAGAGAAAGCGUUUGGAAAGGUAGGGCGUAUCAGCAAUGGUAUUCCUGUUAUAAGCCAGACGCCCUAUUACGUCUUCGACUGAGGAUCAUGUGACAAUGCGCUGUUUCGCCGACCUGUUCCCUGCUGCGUUAUUUCCGUGGAUCGCAAAGCUGUGCGCGGGGAGAAGCGUGGUACUGGUGUGGGAAGGUAGAAGCGUAUUCGCGAUGCUGACGAAAUGGUUUUCAUUGA